GCCUAGGUGGCUCAGUUGGUUGAGCAUCUGGCUUUAGCUCAGGUCAUGAUCACUCCGUGGGUUCGAGCCCCGCAUUGGACU
rnacentral:tRNA from 1 species